GGAGGGCGCUUACCACUUUGUGAUUCAUGACUGGGGUGAAGUCGUAACAAGGUAACCGUAGGGGAACCUGCGGUUGGAUCACCUCCUUACCUUAAAGAA
rnacentral:rRNA from 14 species